UGGGGGCAACCCUGAUCCAGCCAUGCCGCGUGAGUGAUGACGGCCUUAGGGUUGUAAAGCUCUUUUCUCCGGGACGAUAAUGACGGUACCGGAGGAAUAAGCCCCGGCUAACUUCGUGCCAGCAGCCGCGGUAAU
rnacentral:rRNA from 1 species